UACAGAGGGGGCAAGCGUUAUUCGGAAUUAUUGGGCGUAAAGGGCGCGUAGGCGGAUUGGCAAGUGGAUGGUGAAAUCCCUCGGCUUAACCGAGGAACUGCCUUCCAAACUGCUUCGCUCGAGACCGGGAGAGGUGAGUGGAAUUCCCAGUGUAGCGGUGAAAUGCGUAGAUAUUGGGAGGAACACCAGUGGCGAAGGCGGCUCACUGGACCGGUACUGACGCUGAUGCGCGAAAGCGUGGGGAGCAAACGGG
rnacentral:rRNA from 1 species